CUUUCCCCUCUCUCUGCUGCUCCCCACGCUCCUACACAAUGAAUAGACUUGCAUCCCGACUACAGAACCAAUUGUCACGCUGGGAGGAGGGCAAAUCAAAUCUUACGGCAGCAACUAGGCGAGGAGAUUGCUUUUCCUCUCAGCUGGCGAAGGAGCCAAUCUGUCUCUUUUCCCCCCCGCCCGAUCCUCAGCUUUUUAGCUGGAGAGAAGGGUGAAAAGGCUAAAGUUAUUGGGGCAGAGAGAGUACUCUGCAGGUUCAGGUCUCUCGCCCACUUCUUCCUGUUCGCUCGCUCGCUCUGUCUGUGUCUCUCUGAACACUUUCUCUCCACUUCAUCCUGACGCUGGCCAUCAGUCACAGGUAGCAGCGGGGAUCGUGGCACUCCCUGCAGUCCUCCAGAUGAAAGACAACAAUAAUUAGGUGGAUAAAGGGGGCUCAGAGCAGCCAAACCGGCGCUGUUCACAUCAAAACACACACAAACACACACACACACACCCUCCAACUCCGAUUAUCUGUUUGUUUUCGGCAGCAGUUACCGUCCUUGCAGUGGUUAAACAGUCCACACUCCACAUCUGACCUGAAACCUGAGCUCACACUUAACUUAUUGACCUGUCAUUCAAUCUGAGGUCAUUCAAAAACCUGUUAAGAAGCCGCAUGUCUGUACGGAAAAGAUGAACCAAUACUUGGAAUUUGUUCUAAAAGAAAAAAAAAAAUCCGACACCCUUCAGUUCAGGUCAGCUGUCAAUCUGUCCUGGGUCGGGGAUAAGAUCAUCUUAGAUGGGUCCCCCACCCUGUAAUAAUACCAUGGUCCCAUCAGCAGACUCGUUUGCCUCUCCCCCCCCAACCCCAUGCGUCUUCCCCGUCGGCAUGAAGUGCUUCAGUUACUUGUCAAUGUCCAUGCAUGGUCAGGAAAAUGACCUUAAAAUAACAGUAAUUUGACCUCGAAAAAAAAAAAAAAAUCACACACUGCAGACCCUUCCGUGUAAAAAUGGAAUUUGAGUUCCGGAAUAAAAGUGGCCCAUUUCUGCCACCUCGUCACACGACGGAAAGACGAAAAGUGUCAAAACUACACAUCACGUUGAAAACGCUGUCUUUCUAGGACUUUCUAGGAGAUUCGGGGCAGACGUCCCUGUCAGACAACUUUGGAAUUAUAUGUUGCAUACAAAUAGGAUAUCAGACAUUUUUUUUUUUUUUUAACAGCAAGGAGUGAAAUUAACGUUAAAAAAAGUCAGGUGUCAGUUGUUGAAUGAAAGAACUGAUAAACAUUUUUUAAAUUUUAUUUCACUUCACAUGCGCUCCCUUAAAUUAAAUGCUCAAAAAUGAAGUAAGAAAUGAAAAGACGUACCUCGAAUUUAAAGCUGAUAAUGAUUAAUAAUUUGAUAAUUAAUUUAUUUAACAUAAUGAAUUUCUCUUUGCUAAACAGUUAAACUAACGGCUUGGCCAAACGGACAAAAAAAAAAAACA